UGCCCAGCAACUCCUAUCCCUACCUCCUCGUGGUACCGGCCGGAAACUAUGAGCAACCUUAGGGAAGAUCGGGUAACCAACCCCGGUGGGAACUUUGGUCGUCAUAGGCCGACAGGGAAGG
rnacentral:ribozyme from 1 species